rnacentral:lncRNA from 1 species
AUAAAGAAAAGAUAACAGUAUCAGAAAGAAACAAAACCCAUUUCCCGUCCUCCUCCGUUCUGACCAAUACCGUUGUCUGUUCGCCGUCGUUUCUUUACCUGCAUCCUUUUGUGUUAUCCCUUUUCGUUUUCAAUUUUUCAUUUUUAUGGUUUACUGAGUAAUCCCUUUUCAUUUUUCCAUGUUGCAGGAUUUUGAUUGAUAUUGGGAUUUUUAUUCAGCUCACUAUGUCUCAUUUGUUCCCUUUACUUCCUUUUCAUCAUCUCAUGAAACUAAUUUUGGAAUUUGUUUGCAAUAAUGGUUUCCCCUCUUUUGAUUGUUCCCAACUCCAUUAUUAUUUGGAAGAAAAGAUAGUUCAAUAGAAGAAAACGAAAGCAAUAAAAAAAGAAGAAAAAGAAAGCAAUAAACUGUAGAUCUUGCCGGCGGCGCGAAGCUCGACGGAGGUGGUCGGAGUCAACGUUGGUGGUCCGGUGUGUUGGCUUG